AUUCAUCAGAAAUGCAUCUUGCCCCAACAUGAAAGAAGAUCGUUCAAUUUUACAAAUCACAAGUCGUAUGUAGCCAAAAUUGCACAAAUCAAUAAGAAAAUCUCACAAAUACACAAGUGCAGGAAGAGAACGUAGAUGCAAAAAGGCAAGACAUGUCUCCACAGCGGCUCCGUUGUCCACUAUCAAGAUCAAAAAAAGGAGACACAUCAGACAUCACAGCAGCAAUCAUCCUUCAUGGCUUCCUGCAGAUCGAGGUACCGGACACCGGGCUUUGAGAUGCUGCAUGCCAACUUGCCAAGGGAGGUAGGAGCUUCCGGCGUUGACCAAUGAGGACACAUAGCAGCGCACUGCACGCGUGACGGCAAGAGUCACGCCCACAAGCCGCGGGCGGCGUCUGCGCUUAGCGGCUGCGGGAGUGGCUGGGGCAGUGGGGAUGAGGAUUCAAGAAUUGAGAUUAGGGUUACAAGUUUAUAUAUAUACUCAAGUCACUCAUGGGCCUUGGUGGGCCAAAUUGAUGUGGUGCGAUGCUGCAUAUUCUAAGCGGGUCGGGUUUGCGGGGAUCGGGUACGGGUGACUGAUCCCAUCUCUGUCCCCGCCAGACCCGACGGGGAUUAAUUUUCUACCAAAUAGAUCCCCGUGGGGAGUAAAUUGAUCCCAUCCCUGUCCCCUAAUAGGGAAAUUCCCCACGGAGAAUCGGAGAUCGGGGCCCAUUGCCAUCUUGACUUGUAAGGUGUAAUGUAACGCAGAGCUAACUUGCCUCAAACUCCAAACCGAUGCACACCCUUCGUGGGAGAUACUUUGAGGUACACAUGAGCACCAAUUUCAAAUUGCAAGGGCCUUCUUCUCUUAUCCGCAUAAGUUUUCUAGCGAUUUUGAGCUGCCUUCAAGUGACUCUGAAUAACACCGACUUGGUCUCUUGCUUCCUUAAUAAAAUCAGGCCCAAAAUAUCCAUGGUCUCCCACUUUAAACACAGUUGGGUGGUGUUCUAUAUUUCUUGCCAUACAAGUCCUCGAAAGGAGACCUGUGAAGAACAUUGAUGUCAUUAUAAAACCCGGGCAUUCCAAAGGCAUGCCAUAUCCAAAGGUCGUUUGAAGCAGCAGCCUCCAAAAUGAGGGCUUCUUCACAUGCCCCUUGUACUAACCCUGUGAUUGUACUAUACAGUUCUUCCACGCCCAAUGCAUACAAUCGAUGAACCCUAACAUUCCUCAAAAGCCUCUUUGCUCACAGAGUGUCGGUAAGAGUGUUGUGUCUGCCUCAUUGCGACACCUCAGGUAUUCUCUACAACUAAAAAUUAUGGAGAGAACACAUCUACCACAUCCAUGGUGAAGCCAUAACUCCCCUUUUUACUAUACAUGAUAGGUUAUCCAUCAAAUCAGGCUCCACUCACCCAUGCAUGCAAAAAUGUUUUAGCGAAUUAAAAAAAGUCAUAACUCUUAAACCGAAGAUAUAAAUUAAAUUUCGAUUGCACCAUUAAAUUUCUUAUAACAAAUCCUUUAAAACAAGAUCACACAUGGAUAUAUUUAGAUAAAAUUUUAUUAAUAAAUAUUUAUCUCUACAACUAAAAAUUAUAGAGAGGACCCGUCCACAACUCCCAUUCCUUUGGUGGUCACGCUAUCCCAUCAACCUAGGCCCACUCACCUGUGCAUGCAAAAUUGUUUUAGCGAAUUAAAAAAAAUCUUAACUCAUAAACCAAAGAUAUAAAUUAAAUUCUGAUUGCACCAUUAAAUUUUCUUAUAACAAAUCCUUCAAAACAAGAUCACACAUGGAUAUAUUUAGAUAAAAUUUUAUUAAUGAAUAUUUAUCUUAUGAAGAUAAAAUAUUUUCUUUUAUUAAGUAGAGACAAUAUUCUAGGUUGAACAGACAAUGUUCUGUCUUUGUAAAAAAAGUGUUAUCGAUUUAGAAGAAUAGUAUUUUGGUUUUAGGUUUAUAAAACUAAUAUUACAAUAUAUAUAAAAAUACAUAAAUACAUGACAUAGAUAAAAAUAAUAAUAAAAUCUAGAGUAAAAAACAUAAGAAAAAAAUAAAACACAAAAUGGAGAAAAAUUUCAAAUAAUGUCAAAGGGUUACUUUUCAAAUAUCAUAAAUAUAUUUAUAGAACAUUAAAAUCACUAAAUACAUCAUAGAACAUCAUUAAAUAUAUUAUAGAACAUCACAUCUAUUAUAGAUUACAUGUAUACUAAGUGAACACCAUAAGAAAUAUCAUAGAACAUCACAUGUAUACUACGUAAACAUGACAUAACACAACAUAGAACGCUAAAUAUAUACUACAUAAACAUUGCAUAUAUAUAGAAAACGAAAAUAAAAAUAAAAUUACUAAGAAGAAAACUAUAAAAACGAACAUGAUUAACAAAUGAUAAAAAGUGCAUAGAGCAAAUAAAAUAAAUGAAUAAUUUAAAUAAGGAUAAAAAUAAGAUUAAAAGGAAUUAAAAUAUAAAAUAAGAAUGAAGAAACAUAGAAAACCUAAAAAGAAAAAAGAAAAAUAAAUAGAAGCAAGGAAGAACAAUAAAACUAAAACCAAAAGAAAAAGAAAAAUAAAAGGUAAAAUUAAAACAAGAAAAGAAUAAGGACAUGACAGGAAAUAAAAUAAAAACGAAAAACGAAAACUGAAAAGAAAUAAAAAAGAAACAAUAUAGACAGAAAAAUACAAUAACAAUGAAGAAAACAUAGAGUAUUUGGAUUUUAAAACCCGUAACAACAUACGGGCAUUAACCUAGUCAACUUCAAAAAUAUCAACAGUUAUAGCAACAAACCUAUAAAGACUCUCAAGUGUAGUACUUUCGCCAAUGCGAUAGCAUCAACUGGAACCCCAUAAGUGAGCACACGAAAUGCGGCAAUUACUUUUUGGAAGCAACUCAAUCCAAGUACAUUGGCCGCAUUCUUUUUUGCACGAAGUAAUCAUCGUGUGCUUUAAUAGCAUUCAUUAUGCGUAGAAAAAGCUCCCAAGACAUCCUGUACCUAAACAAAAACAAACUAAAGUUUAAAAACUCGUAUAAUACUUAAGCACAUACUGCAAACCAAUCUGAAGUGAAAGAACAACAACCUUCGAUAGAAUAUUUGAGGGUCGUGUGUUGCAUUAAUUGCCAAAUAAUCUUGAAAUAUCUUGUCAUGGCCGCCUUCUCUGUCACGAUAGAUAACUCUUUGGCCAAGGAUAUAGUGACUUCUUUUGGCAUUGGAAAAAGUUUACACAAUUCGAGCCACCGAGAAUAUUAUGUAGUCCUCGUCAUCGGAUGAUGAAUUGUCCUAUUCUCUUUGAACAAGGGAUCUCUUGAAAGGCAUGACUCCUGGGAACUGGGAACGGCUAGUGGAGGAGAUGGCCUCGUCUGGCUGGUGGAGGAGAUGGGCAGCAGAGGGAGAAGGAUAUGUGCGACAGAGGUAGGAGGACGCGGCGGCGGCAUCAAUCGCACGCGAGUGGAGAGGUGUUGCAAUGAAACUGUUGCGACCAGUAAAAGAUUGCUUGUGAGUCCCUUUUUUUAGUUUUGGCAAGUUAAAAAUAGCAAACUUUUAGAGAGGACCUCUUUUUUUACUUGGCAAAAGAUAGCAAACUUUUGGAGAUGUCUAAACCUCAUAACAGGUGCACACGUAAUAGGCACACAUUUAAGACGAGCCAAUCUCUAGACAAUGUAUCCUUGGGAUUAUUUCUUUAAUGAUGUACUCCCAUGAUCCAAUUUCAAAUAGGCAAACUGAUGUAAUUUAAGUUAUGGCCUUUAAUUAUGUUUUGUUUUUUGUACAUGAGAAAAAUAUUGUGAUUCUUUUUUUUGGGGGGGAGGGUCAGAAAAGUUAUGAUCACAAAGGUACACCUAUCAUGAAAAAUUGUUAUUCCUUUUGAAUUCUAUAGAAAUGGUUUCAGUAAAGAUGAAAACGGAACGAAAAUAUCCCGAACCGAACCGCAUCAUUUUCUAUAUUUAAUCUGAUCAAGUUCAUAUUUUUGUGUCUGAUUACUGUUUUCGCUUUCGUAUUUCAGCUCUUUCAUAUUUCAAAUGUGAAAGUAGAACGGUUUAGACAUUUUUCGGCUGUUUUCUACUUUUAAUUUGAAAUAUUCUGAAUUUAAAAUUUAGUUUAAAUCAAAUUUAACCAACUGCACAGGUCACACAGUCUAAUUAUAGACUACUCACCACGUAGCUGAGUUCUUUCUACUGGUGCCCAGCUACACUCUCUUAUAUGGAUGACACCUAGUCUUAACUUCCUUAAUCUCACGAGGUGUUGCUAAAUGGUAGGAAGCCAGCAUCAUCAAGCUCAUCAGUUUAACCCCCACCUACCAAAUCAAUCGUUCGAUAGUUUUGCCUCACCUGAAUAAAUCUUUGUUACUCAAAAGAAAAGGUUGAAUAAAUUUUUAAAAUAAAAUAC
rnacentral:lncRNA from 1 species